UACGUAGGGGGCAAGCGUUAUCCGGAAUUACUGGGUGUAAAGGGUGAGUAGGCGGCAUGGUAAGCCAGAUGUGAAAGCCUUGGGCUUAACCCGAGGAUUGCAUUUGGAACUAUCAAGCUAGAGUACAGGAGAGGAAAGCGGAAUUCCUAGUGUAGCGGUGAAAUGCGUAGAUAUUAGGAAGAACACCAGUGGCGGAGGCGGCUUUCUGGACUGAAACUGACGCUGAGGCACGAAAGCGUGGGGAGCGAACAGG
rnacentral:rRNA from 1 species